rnacentral:rRNA from 1 species
CCUACGGGAGGCAGCAGUGAGGAAUAUUGGUCAAUGGCCGGAAGGCUGAACCAGCCAUGCCGCGUGAAGGUCAGUGCCCUAUGGGCGUUAAACUUCUUUUGUGCGGGAGCAAUAAUGGUCACGUGUGGCCAGACGAGAGUACCGUACGAAUAAGCAUCGGCUAAGUCCGUGCCAGCAGCCGCGGUAAUACGGGGGAUGCAAGCGUUAUCCGGAUUUAUUGGGUUUAAAGGGUGCGUAGGCUGUGAGGGAAGUCAGCGGGGAAAUGCCCCCGCUCAACGGGGUGAAGUGCCAUUGAUACUGCCUUGCUGGAAUGCGGAUGCCGUGAGAGGAAUGUGUGGUGUAGCGGUGAAAUGCAUAGAUAUCACACAGAACACCGAUUGCGAAGGCAUCUCACGAAUCCGCGAUUGACGCUGAUGCACGAAAGCGUGGGUAUCAAACAGGAUUAGAUACCCCUGUAGUC